UUUUCUCUCCAAACCUGCAACUCCAUCUUCUCCCAACAAUCAAUCUCUCAACAAAAAGAUGGACUUUAUAGGAAGAUAUAUACAAACUCAACAUACUAUUCAAACUCCUAUUUUUCUUUUCUACCUUCACUCUUGCUCACAACUCUUAUUGCUUGAUUUUAUAAGCGAACUUGUCUUUUAAUAUGGUAUCCAAGCUCUCACGUCCCCUUGGUCUCAACCAUCUCUUCUCAACCUCACUUCAGUCCACCAUCACCGUCUCAAUGACUACUUGAUCUAAUAUAUAGUUGCAUCUGCUCCUCCUCUAACUACCCAAACUGAUGUCAUCACUGAAUCCUCACAAAAGACACACUUCUCACCACCAAUUCAAACUUCCCACCUCUUACAAUAUAAACCGAUCACUUUUCCACAACCCCACGAAAA
rnacentral:lncRNA from 1 species